AAGCUCGUAGUUGAAUUUCGGGAUCAAUAUACCGGUCGUGCCUCAGGUAUGAACUGGUCUUGUUGGUUUCUCCCUUCUGACGAACCAUGAUGUCAUUAAUUUGAUGUCGUGGAGAAUCAGGACUGUUACUUUGAAAAAAUUAGAGUGUUUAAAGCAGGCUAACGCUUGAAUACAUUAGCAUGGAAUAAUGAAAUAGGACGUUCGAUCCUAUUUUGUUGGUUUCUAGGAUCGACGUAAUGAUUAAUAGGGAUAGUUGGG
rnacentral:rRNA from 1 species